GAAUCUUGCGCAAUGGCCGAAAGGCUGACGCAGCGACGCCGCGUGCGGGAGGACGCCUUUCGGGGUGUAAACCGCUGUCAGGGGGGACGAAGGCCUGAGGGAGGCAAUGCUCUCGGGCUUGACGGUACCCCCAGAGGAAGCACCGGCUAACUCCGUGCCAGCAGCCGCGGUAAUACGGAGGGUGCAAGCGUUGUCCGGAAUUAUUGGGCGUAAAGCGCACGUAGGCGGUUCUGUAAGUCUCAUGGUGAAAGGCUGGGGCUCAACCCCAAGCAAGCCGGGGAUACUGGAGGACUGGAGACAGGCAGAGGCCAGCGGAAUUCCGGGUGUAGCGGUGGAAUGCGUAGAGAUCCGGAAGAACACCGGAGGCGAAGGCGGCUGGCUGGGCCUGAUCUGACGCUGAGGUGCGAAAGCGUGGGGAGCGAACAG
rnacentral:rRNA from 1 species